CAUUUCUCAAAUCUCAUCGGCUCGCACACUCCUCAUACGCUGCUCCUCUGCUCAAAAGUCUCUUCUUCAGUGUCUUCACAGUGGCCGCCACCGUUCCUGUCUCUGUCGCCAUCGCUAUCAUCCUUCAGUGGUCUUAUUCGUUGAAGCCAACAAAGUCUAAGAAGAUGUUUCUACAGCCCGUGGUACCCUAAGCUUCGAAUAACGGCCCUCUCUGCUUCUCUUCGAGCUCUAAUAAGUUGAAGCUGUUCUUAUAGGUCAGCAUGGGAUUUGAUAAUGAGUGCAUAUUAAACAUUCAAACUUUAGCUGGAGAGUACUUCUGCCCUGUCUGUCGCUUGCUUGUUUACCCAAAUGAGGCGCUACAGUCACAAUGCACUCAUUUAUACUGCAAGCCCUGUUUGACCUACAUUGUGAGUACUACACGGGCUUGCCCUUAUGAUGGCUACUUGGUGACUGAAGCAGAUUCCAAGCUGCUUGUAGAAUCAAAUAAAACUCUUGCCGAAACCAUUGGCAAAAUAGCAGUUCAUUGUCUCUACCACAGGAGUGGAUGCACAUGGCAGGGACCUUUAUCUGAGUGCACAUCUCAUUGUACUGGAUGUGCAUUUGGCAAUUCUCCUGUUGUAUGCAACAGGUGUGGGAUCCAAAUUGUGCAUCGUCAAGUACAGGAACAUGCCCAAAAUUGUCCUGGUGUGCAGCCUCAGGUGCAGCAGGCAGAGGGUGCUCAGGAUACUUCAGCCGCCGGUGGAACUGAUACUGCCAAUCAGACUCAGGCUGCCACUCAGGCUGGUGUAACAGCUACCCAGGCCCAGACUACUCAAACUGCAGCAACUACUGCUUCUGGACAGGAUCCUAAUCAGCAAGCAAACCCGAAUUCUCAAUCACAAGCUUUAGUUCAGUCUGCUGUUCCAACUCCAGAACAGUGGUAUCAGCAACAACAACAGUAUCAACAAUACUACCAGCAGUAUCCUGGAUAUGAUCCCUAUCAACAGCAUUAUCAGCAGUACUACCCCUAUCAACAGCCGGGAGUUCCACAAUACCAUCAGCAGCACUUGCAAGCUCAUCCACCACAAGUGGCUGGUCAGAAUCAACCUCUGCUUCAGCCGCAAUCCCAACCACCACCUCAGACUCUCGUCCAGCCUCAAUCUCAACCACAACCUCAGCCUGCUGUACAGCCUCCAUCACAAACACAUGCUCAAGCUCCAGCAGUUGCUCAACUUCAAAACCAGGCACAAGUUAACCUGCAACAGCAGCAGCAGACUGCAGUGCUGCCACAUUCUCAAAUUCAGCCACAGACUCAUCAGCCAGUCCCAGGCCAAGCUCAUCCCCAUCCCCAUCCCCAUCCCCAGCCGUAUCCCCAAGCUCAUCCCCAUCCCACCCAACCUCAUCCACAGCAACAUGCAAUGGUGCCUCAAUAUCAACAGACGCAUCAUCAGAUGCAACAUUUACAACCCCAACCUCAUUCAGCUCAUCAUCAAGCACCAGUUCAACAACAUUCCCAGCCACAUCCCUACCUAAAUCCUAAUGUCCAGCCUCAGUUGCAGCAUCCACCAGCCCAUGAUGUCACGGGUCAUCAAUCAUAUCCUCAGCCUCACCAGCAAAUUCAUCUAGUAGCCCCACAACAGCAUACAAUGCACAUGAACCCUCAAGGUGGGCCUCAUCCACAGCAGCAACAUUCUGGUCAAGCUCCAAGUCAAUUCCCUCAACAACAUCCUUCUAUGCGUCCACCCCCUUCUACUGCUUCAAUUCCAAAUCAGCAACAGGCUGCUUUGUUGCCAUUGCCAGGUCAAGUCCAGAACAUCCAUCCUGCACAACAGCAGCCAGUUCAACAAUCUGGACACCCAAUCCACCAGCGCCCUCCUAUACAGCCAGGUCAACAGAUUAUGGCUCAGCAACAUGUGAAGCAGCAGCAGCAGCAGCAGCAGCAACAGCAGCAGCAGCCUUUCGUACCGCAAAGUCCAUUUCUGCAGCAAAAAAUGCCUACCCCAUCUCCAUUAAGGCCCCAGGUCCCGCCUCAUUCAUAUACACAACAUACUCAUGCCUAUCCACAACUGCAGCAGAAUGCAGCAUUCUCACAUGGUUCUCAAAAUGUUGUCGGAAGGCCUAUGGUACCAAAUCAUGCAGUACAAUCACAGCCAUAUCCACAGUAUGCUGGUGGUGUUCAGGCUAGGCCUUUGCAUCCUGGUGCAAGCCAACCAUCUGCAAGUCUGAACAAUAUGCUCAGGAGCGAGACCCAAGUACAGGUGUCUACUGAACAGCAGUCUGGGGCAACUUCAAGGUCAACAAUGUCCGUAAGGCAAGGCGAUUAUGUAUUUGAGAAAGGCAUGGGCGACCAAGCAGUUGAAUUAUCUUCUGAGAAUGCUGCCAAAAAGGUAUUGAAUGAUUUAGAUCCAGCAUCAACAUCAGCUCUUGGAGUUGAUGCUAGUGAAGUUAAAAAUAUGAAAUCUGAAUCUGAUGUCAAGUCCAAGGAUGAUUGUGAAUCUCAUGUCCUGGAAAAUGGAGGACUUGUUAAGCGGAUGGUGAAGGAAGAGGGUGUGGAAAGUAAUUUGGAGAACUUUAAUGUCAGUAAAUCAGGUGAACUUGUAUCUGAGAUCAAGAAAGAUGUUUCUGAAGUAAGCCCAAGACAUUUGGGCAAUUUUGCUUCGGAAGAUAGGGAGAGAAAGAAUGAUCUUCUGUUGAAAAAUCCCCCAUUGCACGAACCUGAACAAAUAGAAAAACUGAGUGGGAAAUUGGAGAAGGAUGCCAGUGUGAUUCAGCAUCCUUCAACGGGUGCUAAUGAAGCCUCACAAACUUUGACUACGACUUCAGCUCCUGUCUCAAGUAGUCCUGCUAAGAAUUUUAUCCCAAAAGGAGCCAUCUCUCAAGGUUCCGAAGUUGAUGGAUACAAAGGUCUUCCUCCACCCAGUCAGGUGCAUUCUGGGGGCUUUAUACAGCCUUCUCACCCAGGCGCAAUUGCUGAUCAGGGAAGGCAUUUUGGGUCUUCUUCUCUCCAACCAAGGCCGCCUGGUGCUCCAUUGUUACAAACGCCUCCUUUUGUGCUUCCACAUCACCAACAUCCAGGAGGGCACCCUUCCGCUCAGUUUAGGCCACAAGGAUAUGGGCACACACCUGAGCAUUUGCAGCCCCCUGCAUCAAAGCAGUCUCUUGAAACCCCACCUGGUGGCAUCUUAGGCCCUGGCUCCACAUCAUCCUUUGGGAGGGGACCGGGGUAUUAUGAUUUUCCCCAGCGAAACUUUGAAUCGCUACCUGUUGUUUCUCAAGGGCCUCAUGGUCAAGGACAUGCACUCCCUAUAAAUGCUGCGUCUUCCAGAGUGUCUCAAGGUGAAGGCCCUCCAUUUGGUAUGUUACCUCCUGGUGUGGUUGAUUCACGUGGCGGGAUGAUGGCUAGACCACAUGGCCCUGAAGGUCUGAUGGGUCAGCAGCGGCACACUAAUCCGAUGGAUGCUGAAUUGUUUCUAAAUCAUAGGCCAAGCUACAUGGAUAGUAGACAACCUGAUCCACAUCUUCCUGGGUCUCUGGGACGGGGUUCAGUUGGUCAGCCUUCUGGUGUGAUGGGAAGUAAUGGUGCACUUGGUCUUGAUUCCUCAUCGACACAUGGGUUUCGAGAUGACAGGUCGAAGCUUUUCCCAGAUGACCGUUUUCAUUCCUUUGUAGGCCGAGAAGGUGCAGACCGAGGAGAGUUUGAAGAUGGUCUCAAACAAUUCCCCAGACCUUCUCAUUUGGAUGCAGAGUUUGUACCAAAGUUUGGGAAUUAUUCAUCAAGGCCUCGUGAGAUGGGACCCUAUGGGCUAAAUAGUGAUACUGGUUUCAAAUUGGGUCCUGGGGCUGGCAGUGCCCACUCAGGAUUCUUGCCUUCAUAUGAUGGAGGAGACAGACCUGUUGGUUUGCCAGAUUCUGGUCGUAAUCAUCCAGAUUUUCUUGGACCAGUUUCUGGGUAUGCUCGACGGCACAUGAAUGGUCUGACUCCUAGAAGUCCAAUUAGAGAAUACCAUGGUAUAUCAUCACGUGGUAUUGGAGGCAUUCCCGGCCAGUCGGGCCUAGAUGAUUUUGAUGGCAAGGAAUCACGUCGGUUUGGUGAUCCAAUUGGCAAUUCAUUCCAUGAAAGCAGGUUUCCUAUUCUGCCUGGUCAUUUGCAGAGGGGUGAGUUUGAGGGUCCUGGUAAGUUGCGAAUGGGUGAACAUUUGGGUCCACGUAACUUGCCUAGUCAUUUGCGAUUGGGAGAACCAAUUGGUUUUGGUGACUAUCCUGGUCAUGCACGGAUGGGAGAACUGCCUGGGCUGGGGGACUUUGAAUCAUUUGGUGCAGGCAACAGGCCAGGUCAUCCACGAUUUAGGAGCAGUUUUUCUCUUCAGGGAUUUCCAAAUGAUCGUGGAAUCAAUACAGGGGAGACAGAGUCUUUCGGUAACCCAAGGAAGAGGAAGGCAGCUAGCACAGGAUGGUGCCGAAUCUGUAAAGUUGACUGCCAAACAGUUGGAGGCUUGGAACUGCACUCGCAAACAAGGGAGCACCAGAAGAUGGCUAUGGAUAUGGUACGGACCAUCAAACAGAAUGCAAAGAAACAGAAAUUAGCAUCAAGUGACCCUUCCUCAGUUGAAGAUGCAAGCAAGUCUAAGAAUACCAGUUUUGAUGGCCAUGGGAAUAAGCAUUGACUGAUACGUUGCUGUACUGUUUAUGGAGAUGGCUUUGGAACUGAAGUGCAGUGGCAAUUUACCAUUCAACCUGUCUUUUUUCGGCGAAGCAGACAACAAAUUGGCCGAAAGUUCAGUGGAAAGGUUUACUCCGUCUCCUUUUAUGGAUGUGGUUUGUUUGCUGCCGCUGGAGUCCUGCAAAAUUGUUACUACUUGUUAACAGAACUGCAUUCUGCUUCUAACAUAUGGUUGUUGUCGUUUGAGAAUUUUUCAUGCUUCAUAAAACUUUUCAUCGUAGUUUUUAUUACGUGAAACUUGGGUUUUAUUGAAGUUAUGGAGUGACCUUUUCGAAGUGGAUGGCAGUUGUGGAAUCCAAACCUGCUUGAUCAUGUUUUCACCAGAGUGGCUACCUACCUGUCAGUGCAAGUGAUGAGGUUCUGCGUUGGCUAUGAGGGUUCUGAGUGUAACUCUAUGCUUUCUAUAUUGGGAUUAUGCUUCAAUAACUUUGUUUGAAUUACGAAGAUGUAAACCUCCUAAUACAUAUUUUUCCUGUAUAAGGCUUGCUUUGUGGUGUUGGUGUAUCUUCAGCUUUUUUAAUCUCUCUCUCUCUCUCUCUCUCUCUCUGUUGAAAUUAUACAAGAAGACGACCUUGGUACGGAGAAAAAGAACACAGUAAAUUUCGAUAUUACAAGACAAUCUUAAUGGA